rnacentral:rRNA from 1 species
UACGGAGGGUGCGAGCGUUGUCCGGAAUCACUGGGCGUAAAGGGCGCGUAGGCGGUCUGCUAAGCGUGUGGUGAAAGCUCGGGGCUCAACCCCGAGUCUGCCAUGCGAACUGGUGGACUUGAGCACUGUAGAGGCAGGUGGAAUUCCGGGUGUAGCGGUGGAAUGCGUAGAGAUCCGGAAGAACACCAGUGGCGAAGGCGGCCUGCUGGGCAGUUGCUGACGCUGAGGCGCGACAGCGUGGGGAGCAAACAGG